rnacentral:rRNA from 1 species
AUUGAACGCUGGCGGCAGGCCUAACACAUGCAAGUCGAGCGAGCGGCGGACGGGUGAGUAAUGUCUGGGGAACUGCCCGAUAGAGGGGGAUAACUACUGGAAACGGUGGCUAAUACCGCAUACUAUCAGAUGUGCCCAUAUGGGAUUAGCUAGUAGGUGGGGUAACGGCUCACCUAGGCGACGAUCUCUAGCUGGUCUGAGAGGACGAUCAGACACACUGGGAGUGAGACACGGCCGAGACUCCUACGGUAGGCAGCAGUGGGGAAGAUUGCACAAUGGGCGCAAGCCUGAUGCAGCCAUGCCGCGUGUAUGAAGAAGGCCUUAGGGUUGUAAAGUACUUUCAGCGGGGAGGCGUUACCCGCAGAAGAAGCACCGGCUAACUCCGUGCCAGCAGCCGCGGUAAUUC